rnacentral:rRNA from 1 species
UACGGAGGGGGCUAGCGUUGUUCGGAAUUACUGGGCGUAAAGCGCGCGUAGGCGGCUUUGCAAGUCGGGUGUGAAAUCCCCAGGCUUAACCUGGGAACUGCAUUCGAGACUGCAUUGCUAGAGUAUGGGAGAGGGAAGUGGAAUUUCCGGUGUAGCGGUGAAAUGCGUAGAUAUCGGAAGGAACAUCAGUGGCGAAAGCGACUUCCUGGACCAAUACUGACGCUCAUGUGCGAAAAGCGUGGGGAGCAAACAGG